rnacentral:rRNA from 1 species
CCUACGGGUGGCUGCAGUGGGGAAUAUUGCACAAUGGGCGCAAGCCUGAUGCAGCCAUACCGCGUGUGUGAAGAAGGCCUUCGGGUUGUAAAGCACUUUCAGCGGGGAGGAAGGCGGUGAGGUUAAUAACCUCAUCGAUUGACGUUACCCGCAGAAGAAGCACCGGCUAACUCCGUGCCAGCAGCCGCGGUAAUACGGAGGGUGCAAGCGUUAAUCGGAAUUACUGGGCGUAAAGCGCACGCAGGCGGUCUGUCAAGUCGGAUGUGAAAUCCCCGGGCUCAACCUGGGAACUGCAUUCGAAACUGGCAGGCUAGAGUCUUGUAGAGGGGGGUAGAAUUCCAGGUGUAGCGGUGAAAUGCGUAGAGAUCUGGAGGAAUACCGGUGGCGAAGGCGGCCCCCUGGACAAAGACUGACGCUCAGGUGCGAAAGCGUGGGGAGCAAACAGGAUUAGAUACCCGAGUAGUC